rnacentral:lncRNA from 10 species
AGAAGAUGGGGAUGAAGAAGGAAUCGGGUGAGAGCAAAGGAAGGCCGUGAAGCCAUUGUCAGAAAUUUGUCCUUUAUCCUGACUGAGCAGAAGAAACACUGAAGGAUUUUGAGCAGAGGCAUGUCUUGAUUUCAUUUCAUUUUUAGAGGUAUAGAUAAUUCAGGCUGCUAUUUUGAGACUCGACUGAGAAGAGGUGUGUACUGGCACCCGUUUCCUACAGAUGUGUCCCUCCACUCUUUGAAGCCGAGGGCAAAAUCAUGCUGAAGACCUAGAAAUCCCACCAGUCUGAAGACCAGCUGCAACCACAAUGGGUUAGCCCUUUUCAGGAUGCCUCCUCUUCAGCAUAAAGCAGCCAGAAAGAUUGAUGACCAG